ensembl:lncRNA
UUCUGCAGCCAUUGGCAAGCCAAGGAAGAAUUGUAAGGAAGGGACGUCAGGAGAUUUACACUUUGGAAGGAAAGUGCCAGAGUGGGCGGGGCUCACUGCGGGGAGGGAUGACUCAUUGCCAGGCCCCGUUGCCCUGGGCCAGGUGAAUAAAAGCUUUGGAUCUGGGGAUGGAGACAGAGACCCGCAUUCCGUAAACACCUGUGGGACAGACUCACACUGUCCUGCUAACCAACUGGCUGCAAGUGAUGAGGAAAAAAGAGGAUCCCAAGGGCCCGCUUCUCUGACCACAGAGGAGCUUUCCCAUCGUGAGCUUGUGCUGGACACACUCGCCAUGCAUCUGGCAUCCAGAACUCUCCUCUCUGGCUACACGUGUUUUGUAAUAACAGAACAAUAGAAAAAUGGCUCUAGUCUUCAUGCCUUUGUUUGCAAUCUUCUUUUUAUCCCUGGGAAUAUUUGCUUUAAAGUGAUUUUCUGUUAUUAUGGAAAAGUAAUGCUGGAGAAAAUGAAAUCUAAAUAAAAUUUGCCACCAUUUCCCAAAUGAAAUUAGUAUCUUGUUCACCCUUUCCAUCUUAAAAUUUCCCAAUAUUUUUCUUCUUUCCUUUAG